GAAUUCUGUGCGCAUCAUGAUAUCCAGCCAGCCUUUGAAGGAAGCUGUGUUUUAUUUGAUGUUUAUUUGGUUUGAUCUAUUUGUCAGUGUCUGUUACUGAACUCCCAGAAUACCACGAAGUGAUGGAAUAAGUGAACACACUCUGAAAAGUGGACUGAUUAAAGGACAUCAGCAAUCUUUGGUCCAACCCACUUUUCCUGAGUACUCUCAGAAAGUGGAGGCACUGCUGGGCCUCCUUUAUCAGUGCUGUGAUGUUGCUGGUCCAGGAAAGAGUCUCUGAAAUAUGUACCCCGAGAAAUGUAAAUGAUGUCAGUCUCUUUACACAAUGACCAUUUAUGUGUAAUAUGAUGUGGUGUGUAAUAUGAUAUGAUAUAAUAUAGAAUCUUACCCCAGA